rnacentral:lncRNA from 1 species
GGCAGAUCCUGUAUCAAACAACAAACCACCGUCAUCGUCUAAGGCCCCAGAUCCGGCCGACCUAGACUCUUCUUCGAGCUGGAGCCCAUCGAUUUGAGACCUGUUGGGAGAGUUGGUUAGCGAAGCAGACGAAUGAAGAAGACAAGCGAAGCAGACGAACGAAUACGGUCUUAACAGUCUUGUUGUUUUUGGGGGGUCUCGCAAAGACCACCUAAAGAGGUUGCUGGUCGAGGCGAGUCCCUUGUAGUACCAUUAAAAGUAGUCCCUGC